CUGUGGGUGUCAAGCACAUCACCACACCAGACAAAGACUACAUGUGUGCACACAUUACAUCAGUGUUCUGCAAAUUUUGGCUUCAGCCCCAUCAUCUGUCUGCAUCUUCUUGUUCACACUGUGAACUAACAGACUGACCACUCAUAUAAUAUAACUGUUACCACUGUUAUUUCAGUAGCCAUGCACAUAAAACCCUAUUUCUGUCUUAAAGCCUGGGAAAUCAGAACACCAUUACCCAGCAAAAAUAAAGCAACCAAAUCAGAGUCAGUUAGGCUUGCUUUCUCUCUGGUCAAUCAAUAAGAAACUUGAUUCACCAAGACAAACAAUAUAUUCCUCUCCUAAACUAGAAGCUUUUGAAGUCUUUGAGGCUGGGACAUGCAGCCCUGUGAGUCAAUUCAUGUCAGCUGUGCCCAUCCACACUCCCCAGGAGGGCAACUGCCCUUUGGAGGUCUUAAAGAGCCUCCCCCGUCUGUGAUAUAUCCCCAGCACGUAACGCUCUCCAACACUUGGUAGCCAUUUGUUGGCCUGCUGAUGUUAAUGUUCUGUGAACUCUUAUCAGAUGUAUUUAUUACCACAGUUGUUAAUGUUUUGGGAAGGCACAGGCUGGCUUGAGUUCAAAGGAGAACCACAAGAACAGAAAAUAAGCCCUGAAGGCACUUAUUUCAGGAGUCUGACUAAUGCACCUUACUAAAGAGAAGGUUGAAAUGCAACGUGUGUAACCUGUGAGGCUGGCAGUGGAAAAAUAUUCAAGGUUGUGCUGUGAUCUAAGAAUACAAAAUAAUGAGGUGCUGCAUCUUGUAUGCUUUGUUCAGUGCUUAUUAGCACAAAACUCACAUGAAGGAAAACAAAAUGAUCACUUGUUGAUCUUCUGGAAUCUCAAAUAACUCUCUUCUUCACAAGGAAGGGGAUGGUGAGGACAACAUGGGGUUGCUCCCAUGUUGCUCGUCUGGACCAGAUGCUCACAGAGGAUAUAAGCUUGAUUUUUCUAGAAGAUAUGUUGCUUCACAGAAGAUUAAUGUAAGCCAGAAUGAAAAUUACAGCUUAGAUGCUCUCCUAGUUCCUUUUUGUGGCUCCUUUCAGUGGCUCCUUUACCCCCUGAGCUCUUGGGGUGCUUAUUUGUAGGUCCUUGUCAGGAAUUCAGUGAACAAGGAAAAGAAGAAUUUUUCUAUCAUAUUCUGUGUCUCUUUUAAAACUGAGAGGUUUAAUCAACAAUAUUCAUGCUACAAAGCUUCUUAAAUAUUUUGUGGAGUUUAGUAUUUUUUGACACUCCUUACCACAUUCAUAAGUAUAGAAUACAUACAUGUGGUUGACUAUUUCAGGCUAUCCAGGCCGUUCCUUUAGUGCUUCCUUUAGAGAAGAAGAUUGAAGAUAAGAUUUUCUUGUCAUCCAGGGCCAGUGUGUUUCAUACACUCAAAGGAUUUACUACAGUUAUAUAAUAUUACUUAAAACCAGUAAGAAGGAGAGAAAAGGUGCAUAGGGCUUCAGGUGUUCUUGCCUGGUGUCAGCCCUGUGAGAGAGAGGCAUGUGGGAGCUGCCCUCCCUCUACAGAGGGAUGGGGCCAGGCUGGGCUGGGCAGCUCUGCUUUGCCUCCUGCUUCCCACCAGAGAAGGCAACCCUGGCUUGUCCUUGGGAGAAGGAGCAUCUUCCCUAUUGACUCUCCAGCUGACUCUGCUCUAUUCUGACAUUUCUGACUAUUCUGCUCAACUCCCUGUCAUCUCAGGGAAUGCUUCAGCCCUGCCACCAAGCCUGGUCUGCAGGGACAGGGGAAGCAUGGGUCCCAGGAGAGGCGAGGCUGGUAGGAGGGAGGCAAGGGAGUGAACAGAAAAAACAAAGGUGUUUUUAUUCAGAAGUUAAAAAAAGAGAGAAAGAAUUGAGGGUCUGCCAGCCACAGGUUUAUCUCUUUAUUGAACUCUGCUUAGCCUUUCCAUGAAGAGCAUACUUAGACAUUCCUCUCUGUAGAUUGUGUUCUUUUAUUGUAUAAAAUUGUAACUGUAACUUGUGCAAAAAUAAAAUGAAGACAUUAGAAGGAACUUUCCAUUUGCAACAUUUUUGCUGGUAGCUGAAUCAAGCCUAACUGAGGUAGGAGAAAGGACAUGCAACUUAACUGGAGACAUGAUGGGGAAAUGAAGUUGAAAUAAAUGCAUGUUUUUACAUAUAUAUGCAGCAGUCACACAAUCAGUCAUAUGGCAAGAAGGCAUGGAUCAAAGAGGAAGAGCCUAGCACGAGAUUAAAGGGGGAAUAAUUGCAAGCAACCAGAAAGUUUUAUAAUAGAGGUGAUAAUAAUAUACAGCAGAGGAAGGAAAU